AGAAUUGAUCUGGUCAGAACGAACGCUGGCGGCGCGUCUAAGCAUGCAAGUCGAACGGCAAGAGGUAGCAAUACCUCCUAGAGUGGCGGACUGGUGAGUAACACGUGGGUGACAUACCCUUCAGAUGGGGAUAGCUAUUAGAAAUAGUAGAUAAUACCGAAUACGAGCACAGGGGUUAGAGAUCUGUGAGGAAAGGAGCUAAGGCUCCGCUGAAGGAAUGGCCUGCGGCCCAUUAGCUAGUUGGUGAGGUAAGAGCCCACCAAGGCGAUGAUGGGUAUCCGGCCUUAGAGGGUGAACGGACACAUUGGGACUGAGAUACGGCCCAGACUCCUACGGGAGGCAGCAGCUAAGAAUAUUCCGCAAUGGACGAAAGUCUGACGGAGCGACGCCGCGUGGAUGAAGAAGGCCGGAAGGUUGUAAAAUCCUUUUGAAACUGAAGAAUAAGCGUUGUAGGGAAUGACAGCGUGGUGACAGUAGGUUUUGAAUAAGCAACGGCUAAUUACGUGCCAGCCGCUGC
rnacentral:rRNA from 1 species